GUACGAAAGCAUGGGGAGCAAACAGGAUUAGAUAUCCUGGUAGUCCAUGCCGUAAACGAUGUCUACUAGCCGUUGGGGCCUCUGAGGCUUUAGUGGCGCAGCUAACGCGAUAAGUAGACCGCCUGGGGAGUACGGUCGCAAGACUAAAACUCAAAUGAAUUGACGGGGGCCCGCACAAGCGGUGGAGCAUGUGGUUUAAUUCGAUGCAACGCGAAGAACCUUACCUGGCCUUGACAUACUAAGAACUUUCCAGAGAUGGAUUGGUGCCUUCGGGAACUUAGAUACAGGUGCUGCAUGGCUGUCGUCAGCUCGUGUCGUGAGAUGUUGGGUUAAGUCCCGCAACGAGCGCAACCCUUUUCCUUAUUUGCCAGCGGGUAAUGCCGGGAACUUUAAGGAUACUGCCAGUGACAAACUGGAGGAAGGCGGGGACGACGUCAAGUCAUCAUGGCCCUUACGGCCAGGGCUACACACGUGCUACAAUGGUCGGUACAAAGGGUUGCUACCUCGCGAGAGGAUGCUAAUCUCAAAAAGCCGAUCGUAGUCCGGAUCGCAGUCUGCAACUCGACUGCGUGAAGUCGGAAUCGCUAGUAAUCGCGGAUCAGAAUGCCGCGGUGAAUACGUUCCCGGGCCUUGUACACACCGCCCGUCACACCAUGGGAGUUUGUUGCACCAGAAGUAGGUAGUCUAACCGCAAGG
rnacentral:rRNA from 1 species